CGGAAGCUGAGGACGUCAUAUUAGAUGUUCUCUGGGGAAAGGGAGGCUGGCUUUGCGGAAUGGAGGGCUUACCUUCCUGGCUUUCGGACUUCGCAAUUAUCGAGUUCGGUAAACAGCCAGAGUUUUCAGUAGCAGGUUGUAGAUCAAUAUCUUGGCUUGUCACCGCUGGUCAGGGAAGUGCACUCAGGGUGGUCUCUAGGGCCAUAGCAUAACCCCUAUGUUUCAGUACUCUUUGCCAUCUCUUCCACAUCCAACUCUACUG
rnacentral:misc_RNA from 1 species